CUGAAUGUUUAUACAGUACCCAAUCAGAUUGUUCCAACAGUUGGUGUUAGAUUCUCAGCAGAUGACAUGGCAGAUUAUAAACCUAAACUAAUGCACUCACAAAUGAGGAGGAAAGACAAGGGGCUUUGAUGCAAUUGACGCUACUCUAGAAAGGGAUAGUGAUUGCAUCGCCUGAUUAAUUUCCUAGAGACGUUCUUGCAUUUGUCCACGGGAAAACACUCCAAGAUGACAGGGUCAAUGGACGAGCAUUACCGGGUACUGGAG